GCCUUGAUAGCACAGUGGUUAGUGCGUCUACUUCAAUUAACAUCUUUAUGAUAUUGUUUAAGUAGAGGAUCCCCGUUCGAUUCGGGGUCAGGUCA